ACUAACGCUGGCGGCGUGCCUAACACAUGCAAGUCGAACGAAGCAGCAAUGCUUAGUGGCAGACGGGUGAGUAACGCGUAGAUAAUGUGCCCUCUUGCGGGGGAUACCGUUUCGAAAGGAACGUUAAUACCGCAUAACACCUUCGGUGGGCAUCCAUCGAGGGUCAAACUUCCGGGGCGGGAGGAGCAAUCUGCGUUCUAUCAGGUAGUUGGUGAGGUAACGGCUCACCAAGCCUACGACGGAUAACUGGUCUGAGAGGAUGAUCAGUCACACUGGAACUGAGACACGGUCCAGACUCCUACGGGAGGCAGCAGUGAGGAAUAUUGCGCAAUGGGCGAAAGCCUGACGCAGCGACGCCGCGUGGAGGAUGAAGGCCUUCGGGUUGUAAACUCCUGUCAGUGGGGAAGAGAAUGGACGGUACCCACUGAGGAAGCUUCGGCUAACUACGU
rnacentral:rRNA from 1 species